rnacentral:snoRNA from 1 species
CUGUAGCCGGUCAGGCUGACCAAGCUCUCCUCCCAGUGGGGCCUGGUGUGCAGUGAUGCAAACGGUAGCCUCCUUGGUAGUGUCUGUGCAUGCAAGGGUCAUCCUAAGGGACCUUGGAUAUAGCU